rnacentral:rRNA from 1 species
CUACGGGAGGCUGCAGUAGGGAAUAUUGCACCAUGGGCGAAAGCCUGAUGCAGCAACGCCGCGUGAGCGAUGAAGGCCCUCGGGUCGUAAAGCUCUUUUCAAGGGGAAGAGGAAGGACGGUACCCUUGGAAUAAGUCUCGGCUAACUACGUGCCAGCAGCCGCGGUAAAACGUAGGAGGCGAGCGUUAUCCGGAUUUACUGGGCGUAAAGCGCGUGUAGGCGGUACAGCAAGUUGGAUGUGAAAGCUCCUGGCUUAACUGGGAGAGGUCGUUCAAAACUGCUGAACUAGAGUACGGUAGAGGAAAAUGGAAUUCCGGGUGUAGUGGUGAAAUGCGUAGAUAUCCGGAGGAACACCAGAGGCGAAAGCGAUUUUCUGGACCGAAACUGACGCUCAGACGCGAAAGCUAGGGUAGCAAACGGGAUUAGAUACCCUUGUAGUC